UAACGAACAAUAAUAGCGAAAAACACAUAAAUGCUAAUGAAUAGAAUUGUAUUGCAUACUAUUAUUGCAAGAAAAAAAUUCAACAAAGAAUAUAGAUCUACUCAUCAAUAUCGGUAUCCUCCUCGAUUUGUAGGUCCUCCUCCGAAUCACAAUAAUCGACUAAUAUAUCAUCUUUUAUCUCAUCAUCAUUUAUGAACUAAUCGUCACCCUUCGAAUCAUCAAGAUUAAAUACAAAAUUAGCUUUAACUUCAUUGGACGGU
rnacentral:lncRNA from 1 species